rnacentral:rRNA from 1 species
GACGAACGCUGGCGGCGUGCUUAACACAUGCAAGUCGAACGGAAAGGCCCUGCGUUUGUGGGGUUCUCGAGUGGCGAACGGGUGAGUAACACGUGAGUAACCUGCCCUUGAUUUUGGGAUAACUUCAGGAAACUGGGGCUAAUACCGGAUAGGAUCUCCUGUUGCAUGGUGGGGGUUGGAAAGUUUCGGCGGUUGGGGAUGGACUCGCGGGUUAUCAGCCUGUUGGUGGGGUAGUGGCUUACCAAGGCUUUGACGGGUAGGCGGCCUGAGAGGGUGAACGGCCACAUUGGGACUGAGAUACGGCCCAGACUCCUACGGGAGGCAGCAGUGGGGAAUAUUGCACAAUGGGCGGAAGCCUGAUGCAGCAACGCCGCGUGCGGGAUGACGGCCUUCGGGUUGUAAACCGCUUUCGCCUGUGACGAAGCGUGAGUGACGGUAAUGGGUAAAGAAGCACCGGCUAACUACGUG